GUCCCUUUGAACCCGAGAAAUCAGAUGUGAAUGCACACCCCCAACAACAGCAAUCCACAAGUCAAGUGAGUCCCGAAUUUCUGGGUGUAGAGCAUAAACACCCUCAAAAAUAAUCACACCACAGUCUUCAGAAACAUCAAGUUCCUUGAAGCCACUACGAGCACCAGUCUCCAAAUCAAAUAUGGGCACUUUAGCAGUUCUGCCACUCCUUAUGUCAUUGAUAUUCUUUGCCAGCACGGAUAGAUCAAGAGAGCGAAAAUCAUCAUGCUUAAAAUCUUUCACUUGUUCAGAUAUAAAGUAGCUUUCAAGGGAAACUACU
rnacentral:misc_RNA from 1 species